rnacentral:lncRNA from 1 species
AUGCCCGAUAAAGACCGGCUGGGCAGUUCUGGCCCAAUCCCCAGUGCCAAUCGGAAAUGGACGUCACCGGCGAUGAACCUCGGAGUAACGGCACAGGCUGAGGCGGAUGCAGAGAGCGGCCAACGAGGCAGCUCCCCCGGCGCCCAACGAGCUGAGCCAGUCCCAGGGGCCCCCCGGGGCCUGGGGACUCCCUGCUGCUUGGUGGCUCCAGAGACAUGGCUUUGGGGGCCACUCUGGAGGGGUCCCGGGGGGGCGGGCUCAGUUGCCAUCACUUCAAAGACGUUAUGGCUGCGUGGCCUAGUGGAAAAAGUCACGGGUCUGGGAGUCGGGACCUGGCUUCAAAUCCCAGCUCUGCUUCUUGCCUCCUGUGUGGCCUCGGGCAAGCCACUUCACUGGGCCUCAGUUUCCCUAUGUGGAAAACGGGGAUUCAAUACCUGUUCUCCUUUGUACUUAGCCCGUGAGCCCCAAGUGGGACCUGACGAUCUUGUAUCGGCACCGGCGCUCAGUACAGUGCUUGACACAGUAAGCGCUUAAGCGUAACACAAUUAUUCAAACCCGGAGGCCUGGCGCGAGGCCUUCGGGGAUGCUAGAAGAGAGAAUUAAAGGCCUCUCUCAUCCCUAUUUAAAAAUAACAAUAAAAUAACAAUAACACACGGUUAGCCUUUACAAUACGCCAAGCACUGUGUUGAGUGGACGCAGGAUAAUCAGACUGGACAGCGUUCCCAUCCUACAUGGUGGUCAAAGUCCCGCUGGUGGGGGUGAGGGGGAACCGGUAUUUAAUCCCCAUCUUACAGAUGAGAAACAAGCCCAGAGAAGUUAAGUAAUCUGCCCAAGGUCAACCAGCGGGCCAGAAAUGGAGCCAGGAUUAGAACCCAAAUCGCCUGCCUCCCAGGCCUGUGCUCUUUCCACUCUUGAGGAAGUAGGAGGAUUAACUUCACCUCCUCUCUCACGGGAAGGGGUGCACCUAACUUUUCCAAGACUUUUCCCCAUCACCAAACCCCUCGCAGAUCAAUCUGGAUUCAUUAAUCUAUCCUGACCAACCUUUCAACGCCCCGAAUGUUUCUGUUAAAUAAUUAGGUGGGGCCUAGUUUGGCCAGUUUCCUACCACUGGCUCGCAGCCGGUCGGUGCCCUGUCCGGUCCAGUUUCGGGACGGGGCACCUUUCUGUUUUCGUCAGUGCCAAGCCCCCCAACCCCGUCAAAUCUGCGGCUCUGAACCCGGGACCCGGGAGACGAACACGACGGCUCUGGAGCAAAUUGAGGGUGAGGGGUCCGCCUGUAAAAACGCACCCAAAGUGGCCUUGGCCAGAUUUCUGCAGAACGGCACGUGCGAUCCCCAGAGGGGAGGCGGUGGCAAUACGAAUUCACCUCCCCCGACGGCUGCUCCCUGUCGACUUCACAGAAGCCAAAGUCACUGGCUUACUGACUGCUUGGAGAAAAGCGGCUACCGUAGUUCCUCUUUCCAACAACCACCACCACACCACCGUAAACACAGACCGGUGGCCCCCUGGGGCCAGUGGACCUGGCCAAACACAAGCCUGCGUUAGCCCCGUCCGUGCUUACAGAUUUCCUCCACUUCCCCUCUUGGCCUCGGUCUCUCUGGACGAGAGCGGCGCGCUGCCCCUUCCGACUGACUCUUGAACCCGACGGAAGUUCCUUCCCGAUCCUGCCGGCCCCGGUCUCCCGUUCGGCAGCCCCAUUUCUAACUCUCACGCCGAAUGGGGCUGCGGGGGGCAUCCAGAGCGGGCUUUACGUUUGCCUCUCGCUCCCCUCCUUGGUAGGUCCAGCUCCCCAUUGGCUUUCUCCACCUGCUCUUGCCCCCUUGGCUCCGAAGGUCCUGCCCUGAUUUGAACUGAGAGCUCAGAGUCCAGCGCUCUGAAGGCAGAGGCCGAGUGGUGGUUCUUUUCUCCCCAGAUGCGCUUCUUGGCUCGGGGUCUUCCAACGGGGCUCCCGACUCCCCCUCGCAUCCAAACCCUCGCCACGGGGUUAGGCCUUGGAUACGGGCCUGGGAGUCAGAAGGACCUGGGAUCGAAUCCUGGCUCCUCCGCUUGCCGGCUGUGCGAUCUCGGGCAAGUCGUUUCACUCCUCUGUGCCUCAGUUACGUCACCUAUUAAAGACUGUGAACCUCAUGUGGGACGUGGACUGUGCCCAACCUGUUCAGUUUCACUUCUCUGGGCCUCGGUUCCCUCAUCUGUAAAAUGGGGAUAGAGACUGGGUCCAACCCGUUUUACUAGUAUCCACCCCAGUGUUCAGUACAGUGUCCGGCAUAUAGUACGCACUUAAAUACCAAAAUUAUCAUCAUCACCCCAGCGUUAGGUACAUCGCUUGGCAUACAGUAAAGGCUUAAUAAAUGCCAUAAAAAAAAAAGCACCAGAGCACGUCAGCCUUGCCAGGAUCAUUUCCUCGCUCUCUGCAAGGGCUGUGGGGAAUGACCCUGGGCCCAGGGACCUGGGAUCUGAAGGCGGAGGGAGCCCAAGGGGAGGGGGAGGGCGAUGCCAGGCUGGCCAACUCUCAACUGCCCCCUCCUUUCCCCUCUCUGCCCCCAGACUGAAACCCUGAUUCUCUCCCCCGGCGACCGCCUUUAAUAAUUAACUACGAGUUAACAGUCACAUAACACUUCAGCUCCCCCCAGCCAGACUCAGAAUUGACUCAAAGGAGAGGAAGGGGCUACCCAGUCCCAGCCCAUCCUUGCCCCAGCAGCAGCACCGCCCCGGGCCCCCAAGAGUCAGCGAGAUGAGACCUCUGGGGCAGGAGGGAAGAUGAGGCCGCCCUUCCCCCUGGCUGCUGGGCCGCGGAGCUGAAAUUCUUGCUAGGUGACGCUGUCACGGAGCGGGCUCCGCCUUCAGAGGCCACGAGGCCAAUCCCUCCCUCCCCGACCCAUGAACCCGGGUAGGGGCAGGCUGCGUGAGCUCUCCCGCAGGACCCGGAAUGGCGUCUACGGACGGGGGCGGGGAGAACUCCACUCCUCCCCACCUCGGGGUGGCUGGGAUCCAGGACCGGCCCUGCCCGGGGCCACGAGGAGAGCUGGGCCGGGCAGAUAAGAGCCCCGUCUUUCCCCCGGGAACCCAGGACCUCCGUCGGUUUCUCGGAGGCUGGCUCGGGAUCCACUCUCCUUCUCCCUCACGGAAUGGGAGAGCCAUCCCUGGCCUCUGGCCCCAGAAAACAAAUCCACCGCAGUUCGGAAAAACGACCUUUGUCCCCAACCCCCGGCUUUGGAUGUGGAGAAACAGCCACCUGUUACGCUCAGGUGAAGGAAGAAGCACGAGGUGCAGAGCUGGAAAAGUCACAUCCUUUUUUUCUGUUCUCCUGGAAGACAACCAGCCUCCUAACAUGAGAAUCCAAGGGCAAAUCUAAAUUCCCACAGGGCACAGGAGGAAGGACGGGGGCCCCAUCGCUCAGUUCGGCCUGGACGGACAGGGGUGGGGGUGGUGGGGGAAGAGGCCGACCAGGGCCGGGGAGGACUGAGGCGGAGCGCCCAAGGUGGGUCAGGAGCUUUCCUGGCUGGGCCAAGGAGUCGAGUUUCACGUGGGAGCCCGGCCCUACCCUCGGACGGAGCUGGGUCACGGGGCAGGAAGUUAGUCACAGAAUCAGAGAUGGGGAAAAAAUAAAACCAUUAUGUCAUCCACUCCACCCACUGCCAGCCCAGAACAGUGCCCAACUACUUAAUUGUACUUUUUGGCUCCCCUACUUCUGCCCUCUUAAUCCAUGCUACCCAACGGAUGCCCCCUCCUUCAGUCGCACCGACACCGCUUCCCUGCUUGCUGCGGCCCAGUGGAUGGAGCACGGGCCUGCAAGUCAGAAGGACCUGGGUUCUCAUCUUGGCUCUGCCACUUGUCUGCUGUGGGACCUGGGGCAAGUUACUUAACUUCUCUGGGCUGCGGUUACCUCAUCUGUAAAAUGGGGAUUAAGACUGUGAGCCCCAUGUGGGGGAGGGACUGUCUACCCCAACACUUAGCACAGUGCCUGGCACACAGUACGCUCUCAAAGAACACCAUGUUAAAAAUAUAAGGACUGUUAGGGGUUUACGAAGCCCUUCUAGGGUGCCAGGCGUUGUGCUGGGGGAGAUCCAAGGUACGCGAGUGUGACAACCCCGCCGCGAACCCCACGUUCUCGGUGGCAGGAAGGGUGGGGACUCGUUUAUUCCCAUUUCACAGGCGAGGAAGCUGCGGCCCGGAGAGGUUCAGCAGCUCAAUCAGCAGGCCACCAGCGGAGCUGGGAUUUAAACCCGGGUCUCCCGACGAUCAGGCCUGAGCUCACUCCACGCUGCUUUCGCCAGUUCCCCUCCUUUCCUCUCCUCAGUGCCGAGAACCUCAGACGGACGCUCAAAGGACAGCACGCCGCUCCUUAACUGCCGCUUCACAAGCGAUACGGAUUGCUUCUUUUAAUCUCUCCUCGGCCACUCCCUCAGGUCUCCCGGUUGUUGCUGUUCUUCUUCAGUUUCCUCCUACACCGAAUUUGAACCAGCGGCUGGGGGGGGGCGGUGGCCGACUACACAGAGGACCGGACCAACCAAAUCCCGAUCCUCUUCCAGAAAUGCCCGGCAACAUAGGCCAGAAAACCCGCCAAGACCUCAGGACCGAGCGGGGAGGGGAGAGGCGAGAAGAGGGAGAGGAGGAAAGGGGACGGGGAGGGAGGCGACCUCAAGCCUUUUAACCGGGGUCUCACCACCAAGCGAGAUGGAAACAAGGGCUGAUGGGCUCUGUCUAGGCCGGGUCUACCCGGGGCAAGCACCCCGGACGGGAGGCCGGACCCUGACUUCUGGGGGGCUUGCGGCCUUGGUUUCUCUCGGAACAUUCCCGGUCGGCAUCCCCGAUCCUAAUAAUAAUAAUAAUGUUGGUAUUCGUCAAGCGCUUACUCUGUGCAGAGCACUGUUCUAAGCGCGGGGGGAGAUACGG